UUGAUCCUGGCUCAGAAUCAACGCUGGCGGCGCGCUUAACACAUGCAAGUCGCACGAGAAAGUGGAGCAAUCCAUGAGUACAGUGGCGUACGGGUGAGUUACACGUGGAUCAUCUACCUUUUAGUGGGGAAUACCCCCGGGAAACUGGGUAUAAUACCGCAUAAUCUCGUGAGAGGAAAGCAGCAAUGCGCUGAAAGAGUAGUCCGCGGCUGAUUAGCUAGUUGGUGAGGUAAUGGCUCACCAAGGCGAUGAUCGGUAGCCGGCCUGAGAGGGCACACGGCCACACUGGCACUGAAACAUGGGCCAGACUCCUACGGGAGGCAGCAGUGGGGAAUCUUGCACAAUGGAGUAAACUCUGAUGCAGCGACGCCGCGUGAGCGAUGAAGCCCUUCGGGGUGUUAAGCUCUUUCGACGGGAACGAUAAUGACGGUACCCGAAGAAGAAGCUGCUGCUAACUACGUGCCAGCAGCCGCGGUAAUU
rnacentral:rRNA from 1 species